GCCUUCGUAGCUCAGUGGUAGAGCGUGGGAUUGCAGAUCCUAAGGUCCAUCGUUCGAACCGGUGCGUGGGCU